UACGGGGGGGGCAAGCGUUGUUCGGAAUUACUGGGCGUAAAGGGCUUGUAGGCGGCCAACUAAGUCAGACGUGAAAUCCCUCGGCUUAACCGGGGAACUGCGUCUGAUACUGGAUGGCUUGAGUUUGGGAGAGGGAUGCGGAAUUCCAGGUGUAGCGGUGAAAUGCGUAGAUAUCUGGAGGAACACCGGUGGCGAAGGCGGCAUCCUGGACCAACACUGACGCUGAGGAGCGAAAGCCAGGGGAGCAAACAGG
rnacentral:rRNA from 1 species